UCUAGAACCCGAGAUAUGGAUUGAACACUGAACAGUGUCUAGGUUGCAGGACAGAUUCAGACUUCUCUUUUGAUGCUAAGAUUUGAACUUCAAAACGGUAGAAUUGAGUCUUAGACCAGCAUCUCUUUUAUAAGCUUGGCCCUUUCUUUG
rfam:Populus trichocarpa scaffold_16_contig_178, whole genome shotgun sequence.